GCCUUUUUCACUGUUGCUCUGUAGCCAAGCCCACCCAGAUCUUGGAACAACCAGUUGGUGGCUUCAAGGCCAGCCAUAUCAGCCCAUGCUCUGGGAUGUCUCUCUAACCACCAGUCAUGUCUUUUUCCGGACUUCUCAAAAAGGCUUGCUUUGUGAUCAACUAUAUGGUCUAUUUUGGAGAAGGUUCCAUGAGGUGUUAAGAAGAAGAUGUCCCUGGAUCUUUUUCCAGUUCCUGGUGAUUUGAAUUGUAAUAUCCCCUUGAAGCUCCUGUCUUUAUAUGUUGGGUCCCCAGUGAGGAAAUAUCUGGGAAGUGUUAACAGGCAAAGAGGAUGGACAUCAGAAGAAAAAGAAAACAGGAAACAACCUAGGAACCUGCCACAGAGGGCCUCUGAAAGCCUCUGCCUUGCAGACUGUCAAAGCAGAUGCUGAGCCUGAUGACCAACUGACAGGCAGAGUGAAGGAAUUUUAUGUAAGAAGUGGGAAAUAGUAAGAGCUGGAGAGGACAGGAACUCCACGAGGACAGCAACAGAACAACAAAAUUUGAACACAGAGAACUUCCCAGAGACUCAUACUCCAACCAAGGACUAUUCAUGGAGAUCACCUAGAACCCUGACAAUGCAGCCAUUUCUGAUGAGAACUGAUAGAGGAAGAUCAGAAAGAAAGAGAAGAGGACUUUCC